rnacentral:lncRNA from 1 species
ACAGAAAGGCAUGAUUUUCUAAACUUCCACUUUGGUGCUUCUCAUAUGAUGUUCUAUUUCCAGGCUUAAAUUCAUGCUUCAAUAUGGUUGCCAGGAAACUGGAAACACUGGUUGUUGCAGGCACAAAGUACCUUAAAGACAGAGGUAUGCCUAAGAAUGUUGCUGAUAAUCUAUUUUUCUACAACAGUGAUGAGGGAUGAGUUCAGCAAUGACUGCUUGUUGUCAGCUAUCUCAUGGGCCAAUAUUGAUAAAGCCCUGUAAGU